rnacentral:rRNA from 1 species
CAGCAGCCGCGGUAAUACCGGCGGCCCGAGUGGCGGUCACUAUUAUUGGGCUUAAAGCGUCCGUAGCCGGGUUGGGAAGGCCUCCGGGAAAUCUGGCCGCUUAACGGUCAGAAUGCCGGAGGAUACUCCCAGCCUAGGGAGCGGGGGAGGCCGAGGGGAUUCCCGGAGUAGGGGUGAAAUCCUAUAAUCCCGGGAGGACCACCUGUGGCGAAGGCGCUCGGCUGGAACGCGUCCGACGGUGAGGGACGAAGGCCAGGGGAGCAAACCGGAUUAGAUACCCGGGUAGUCCUGGCUGUAAACGAUGCGGACUUUGUGUCGGACAAGCUAUGAGCUUGUCCGGUGCCGGAGGGAAACCGUUAAGUCCGCCGCCUGGGGAGUACGGCCGCAAGGCUGAAACUUUAAGGAAUUGGCGGG